GCCUCCGUAGCUCAGUGGAUAGAGCGUCUGCCUCCGGAGCAGAAGGUCGCUGGUUCGAAUCCAGUCGGGGGUACC
rnacentral:tRNA from 1 species